rnacentral:rRNA from 1 species
CUACGGGGCGCUCCAGUGGGGAAUAUUGCACAAUGGAGGAAACUCUGAUGCAGCAACGCCGCGUGGAGGAUGACACUUUUCGGAGCGUAAACUCCUUUUAUAUAGGAAGAAGAUGACGGUACUAUAUGAAUAAGCGCCGGCUAACUCCGUGCCAGCAGCCGCGGUAAUACGGAGGGCGCAAGCGUUACUCGGAAUCACUGGGCGUAAAGAGCGUGUAGGCGGAUUAAAAAGUCAGAAGUGAAAUCCUAUAGCUUAACUAUAGAACUGCUUCUGAAACUCUUAAUCUAGAAUAUGGGAGAGGUAGAUGGAAUUUCUGGUGUAGGGGUAAAAUCCGUAGAGAUCAGAAGGAAUACCGAUUGCGAAGGCGUUCUAUUAGAACAUUAUUGACCCUGAGACGCGAAAGCGUGGGGAGCAAACAGGAUUAGAUACCCUUGUAGUC